UUGUUUAUUUAUUUUGCAGUUCUGGAGAUUCAACCCCGGGCUUGCUAGGCAAGCGCCCCACCUGGAAGCUCCAUCCGCAGCCCCGCAUUUGAUUUUUGGACGCGAGCGCCCCCUUGAGUUUGCGAGAGGAACAACCGAAUCCUCGCCGGCAGCCACUGCUGCGGAGAAAAAGCUUCGUAGACGCGGGUUGGGCGGCUGGGAUUUCAGUGGGUCAAGACGAUGGAGAGCGAGAUGACGUGAUCCCCGCUCUACAGAUCGGGAAGUCAGGCCUCAAGAAGGGACCUGACUUCUCUGGAGGGUCAGCGAAGAGAAGAAGAAGCCGGGCAGCGCACGGGAACAGUCUCCACGACCUCAGCGACCAACGGAAGUGCCCCGCGGGCCGUGCGGGGGCGCGGCCCUGGAGCGACGUCACACGGCCCUCUGUCUGCCAUUGGUUGUCUCUUACCGUUCCUUUCCGGGGCAAGGGAAAGUAGUCGCAGGACGGAAAUGAGGUGCCCUUGAGUUCCAGACGGCGGCGACGUUUAAAGCCGAGGGGUCACGUGUCACUGGGACGGUCGGUGCCUCUAUUCGGGCUCCACCCGAGCUAGGCGGAAACCGCAGAAUUCUGGGAGCCUAGACAAGGGCCGCCAGGCAUCGGGCGCAGUGAUCCGAACCUCUACGGGCCGCCGGAGGAGGGGUCGGGAAGUGCCGACGGGAACUGCCGAUCGGUCGCUGGCGGGGACCCGAAGGAACGGCCGCGGGGAGGACCCCGCCGGGAUGGGCACGCCCCCGGGGGCCGGGCCGGCCACUUUGCGCUUUGCCGCGGCGGCCUGCUGGCAGGUUGUGCGCGGACGCUGCGUGGAGCAUUUUCCGCGAGUCCUGGAGUUCCUGCGAUCUCUGCGCGAUGCUGCCCCCGGCUUGGUUCGCUACCGGCACCAUGAACGCCUGUGUAUGGGCUUAAAGGCCAAGGUGGUGGUGGAGCUGAUCCUGCAGGGCCGGCCUUGGACCCAGGUCCUGAGUACCCUGAAUCACCACUUCCCAGAGUCUAGACCUGUAGUGCGGGACCCUAAGGCUACAAAUCAAGAUCUGAGAAAGAUUUGGGAAGCACAGGAAACUUUUUGCCAGCAGGUGAAGCGGCUGUCAGAAACCCCAGUGGAUUUGGCUUCCAACCUGCAGGAACUUGAACAGGAGUAUGGGGAAUCCUUUCUUGUGGCCAUGGAAAAGCUGUUUUUCGAAUACAUGUGUCAGCUAGAAAAAGCACUGCCUACACUGCAGGCACAGCAGGUUCUAUUGGGGCCAAGCACAUGCACUUACGGGCAGAGUGUGGGGUGCCUGUAUCAAGGACUGUGGCCUUCAUGCCUCUUUCCCUGUCCACAGCUUCAGGAUGUACUGAGUUGGUUGCAGCCUGGAAUAUCUAUCACUUCUUCUCUUACCUUGACGCAGUAUGGUGUGGACAUGGGGUGGCCACUUUCAGAGAGCCCUGUUUCUGAUCCAGUGAAAAUGAUAAGACAGCCCACAGAACAGACUCCUUCUCAGACUCCUCCUCAGCAACGAAAGUUGAAGCUGGCCCUCAGGGACCACAGUCCUCUACGGAAAGCUAAGCCUGGUCCUCAGGGACCAGCUUCAAGGAAGCACCCAGAACCUUUAGCAGGCCAUCACUUCAAUCUGGCCCCUCUAGGUCGGCGAAGAAUCCAGUCCCAAUGGACAUCCACAAAGGGAGGCCAUAAAGAACGCCCCACAGUCAUGCUGUUCCCCUUUAGGAAUCUGGCCUCACCAACCCAGGUCAUAUCUAAGUCUGAAAGCAGGGAAGAGCACUGGAUACAUUCAGCAGGUGCUGGGGGCACAAGAGCAGCCUCCUCUGGGAAGUCUAAGAGUCCAUCUCAGAUCCUGGGGGGAAGGGCUCUCGAGGAGAAUCCAGUGGACUUAUCCUCCUCAGAGCAAAAGGAGAAUUGCUCGGACUGUUCCAUGGACCCCCUAGGACUAUCUUUAUCAUCUCCUAGAGCCAAGAAGCCAAUGUGUUCUCCAUCUCUGUGCAGCUCUGUAAUUACCAUAGGGGAUUUGGUUUUGGACUCUGAUGAGGAAGAAAAUAGCCAGAGGGAAGGAAAGGUGAGUAGGAAGGAGAAACCUAGGGAAAAUAAGACAGAAAUACAUGUGCUCCAGAAUAGGCGGGUCCAGAGAAUGGUUUCCGAUGAUAGGAUCUCCCUACUCCCUUCUUUACAGGAGUCUCUGGAAAACUAUCAGAAGACAAAGUUUGAUACCCUGAUCCCCACCUUCUGUGACUUCACUUCUGGCCCCAGUGCCCUGCCUGCUCCUUCCCACAACCACACAGACAGCUCUAGACCCCUUUGAUAGCACUGGAAUGUCCUCUGCACUCUGCCAGCAGGUGGUGGGAAGGACAUGGAAGAACAGACUUGGAUUGCUUGACGGCAUUGCUAAAAACUUGGUUACUCCAACAUACCCAGUCCUGAAGCUCUCUGGCUUCAGGAAAAGGGGGAAGACAUAGAAAUGUAGGCUAAAUACCCAUCUGCCUAGCUGGAUUUGCUCUUGAUGAACAGUACAGAGACAUCCCCUUCAAUGCUGUGAAGAAAAUAAGGCCUUGUCACUGCUUCCCUUAAAAUCUUAUAAAAUAUUGUUUCAUGUUAUUGUCUGUUUUAUCUGUGUAUUUCCAUUUCAGUGGGCAGAUACAUUUGUACCACAGGUAUGUAUAGUGCAUAAAU